rnacentral:rRNA from 1 species
AGAGUUUGAUCCUGGCUCAGAACGAACGCUGGCGGCGUGCCUAACACAUGCAAGUCGAACGUGAUUAGAGAGCUUGCUCUCUAUGAAAGUGGCGCACGGGUGAGUAAUGCGUAGAUAAUCUACCUGAUGGAUCGGGAUAACACUUCGAAAGGGGUGCUAAUACCGGAUAAGCCCACGGAGUCCUUGGACACUGCGGGAAAAGGGGGGGACCUUUAUCGGCCUUCCGUCAUCAGAUGAGUCUGCGUACCAUUAGCUAGUUGGUAGGGUAAAGGCCUACCAAGGCGACGAUGGUUAGCUGGUCUGAGAGGAUGAUCAGCCACACUGGAACUGAGACACGGUCCAGACUCCUACGGGAGGCAGCAGUGGGGAAUUUUGCGCAAUGGGGGAAACCCUGACGCAGCAACGCCGCGUGAGUGAUGAAGGCCCUUGGGUCGUAAAGCUCUGACAGAGGGAAAGAAAUGCCGGGCAGCUAAUAACUGCUUUGCUUGACGGUACCCUCAAAGGAAGCACCGGCUAACUCCGUGCCAGCAGCCGCGGUAAUACGGGGGGUGCAAGCGUUGUUCGGAUUUAUUGGGCGUAAAGCGCGUGUAGGCGGUUUUUUAAGUCUGAUGUGAAAGCCCUGGGCUCAACCUGGGAAGUGCAUUGGAUACUGGAAGACUUGAAUACGGGAGAGGGCAGUGGAAUUCCUGGUGUAGGAGUGAAAUCCGUAGAUAUCAGGAGGAACACCGGUGGCGAAGGCGGCUGCCUGGACCGAUAUUGACGCUGAGACGCGAAAGCGUGGGUAGCAAACAGGAUUAGAUACCCUGGUAGUC